GUCUGGAAGCGGGGGUGCCGCAAUGUCGGCUGAGAGAGUCCCUUGGAACCUGAUCCGGUUGGUACCGGCGUAGGGAGCUUCGUCAGACGCACG
rnacentral:ncRNA from 2 species